CGGUGUACUAUUAUCUGCCUUGUUUACUGCGAAGUAACAAAGAACAAAAACAUAUCGUUUAAGUGAGCGCUUAAUUCUGAGUCUGCAUUAUUAGGACGGUAUCCUCUGGGAGUUUUCCUCGUAACGUUUAUUUUAUCAACUUGAAGAUGGAUAAUUUACACUGUGGCACCAAUGACCGUCGACAAAUUUUUGCGCAAUAAAUAGUGACGUUUAAGAACCGUUUUUAAGUCGAUUAAUAUUCCUAUGCACUUGAACCCUGGCUUCGAAGGUACUUUUCAUAGCCUGCAGGAAUGAUAUUCAUAUCUGACAUUAAACAAGUUCAUUAUUUUCGCGGCGAGCUAAACGAUAGACAUGUUUUUGCAUGCCAUGAAAAUUAUCGCAACCCGGAAUUUGGAAGCCAGCUAUUUAGAUAACGUGUCCGGUAGUAGAUAGAUAUUUGCGCCUUGGGUCAAUUCAGAAGACUUUUUUAUUUUUUUUUAUUCACAAAAAUAAAGGCACAGACGAAGAGAGAAACUGAAUAGCGAGGCACAGAAGAAACUUUAAAAACUCAAAAAUAGAAGAACGAAAAAUGAUGAUGAUCGCGAGUCAAUACUUUGCGGGCGGAAUGCCCGUAGGAAACAUCCCAGGAAUUAGUUUCGCUUAUGAACAGCGUUUAAAUAACGUAGGGAUCUACAACGCAAAUCAGUUGUUUGUACAAUACCAUCUACUGCAACAGAAUUAUGCAGCUUUUACUGGUUGGCUGGUAAACACAUGUGGAGCAACUACUCCUCAUGCCAACCUGUGUUUCAAUGCCAUCCAAGCUCAAUACGGCCAAUACGUCUUCCGACGAUUUCCUCAAUUGACUUGAACUAUGAUUUUACAGAUGAAGUGGUUUGCUCUUUAGAGCUUAUACGCACAGAGAUAAUUUUGUAAAUUUAGUAGUUGUAUACUUCAAAAUAAAGGGAUUUGAUACAAA